rnacentral:rRNA from 1 species
UAACCUGCCUGGUAGCGGGGGAUAACUAUUGGAAACGAUAGCUAAUACCGCAUAAUAUUAAUUAUUGCAUGAUAAUUGAUUGAAAGGUGCAAUUGCACCACUACCAGAUGGACCUGCGUUGUAUUAGCUAGUAGGUGAGGUAACGGCUCACCUAGGCGACGAUACAUAGCCGACCUGAGAGGGUGAUCGGCCACACUGGGACUGAGACACGGCCCAG